rnacentral:rRNA from 1 species
UACGGAGGGGGCUAGCGUUGUUCGGAAUUACUGGGCGUAAGGCGCACGUAGGCGGCUUUACAAGUCAGGGGUGAAAGCCCGCGGCUCAACCGCGGAAUUGCCCUUGAGACUGUAUCGCUUGAACACGGGAGAGGUGAGUGGAAUUCCGAGUGUAGAGGUGAAAUUCGUAGAUAUUCGGAAGAACACCAGUGGCGAAGGCGGCUCACUGGACACAUAUUGACGCUGAGGUGCGAAAGCGUGGGGAGCAAACAGG